CGGUCGCGCCGCGCGCGCGGCCGCGCGCCGCCUCCGCCUUAAAGGGGCCGCUGCGGCCGGCCCCGAGCGGCGCCCCGGCCGGGCUCGCCCGCCGCCUGCCCUCGCCGCCGCCGCGUGCUCUGAGCUGGCGGCCGCCCGCCCGGCGAGGCCCAGCCGCCGUUGUGCGCAGCCCGCGGCCUCUGCGGCGGGCGGAAGGCUGUUCUUCUCCGAAGGAGAGGUUGGGCGAGGCCAGCCCGGCGGCGAGGCGGUGGGAGAGGUUCCCCUAACCCGCAUGCGCUCCUCAAAGAGCGGGAGUUUUAUGCUAAUCUGGUGGAAAAAUGUAAUGUUAUUGGGAAAGCAGUUGGCCUCUAUUCUGCAAACACCUGAAUAUAAACAGUAUGAGUCAGCAAUGUCAUACCGUGAAGAAAGCAAACAUCAUACUGGGAUAUAUAAACAGGAGUCUCAUAUGCAAGACGCAUGAAGUAAUACUUCCACUCUGCUCGGUACUCAUAAGGCCUCAACCAAAGUACUGUAUCCAGCUUUUGGCACAACACUUCAAGAAAGUGGAGAGGGGCCAAAGGAAAGCAACAAGAAUAAUCAGAAGCCUAGAAAAGACAACCCAGGGAAAGACUGAAAGAAGAAGAGUUGUUUAGUCUACAGAGGAGAAGUCUGAGUGAAGACAUUCUAACAGCUUUCAAAUAUGUGAAAGACUGCUGUAAAGAGGAGGUUAUAAACUGUUCUCUGUGGUCACUGUGCAUAAUAAAAUAAUAGUUUAAAAUUCAGUUGGGGUAUUUAGAAAGGGUUUCUCAUUUGUCUGUAAGGAUAGAAAAAAUCUCAGAUUGCUUAGGAAAACUGUGAAAUCUAUCUGGUGGCUUUUAGGAGAAGGUUAGACAAACAGUUGUCAAAAAUAUUUGAGGUGUGACUCAUCAUGGUAAAAAGGGAAAAGAGACUGGACUAGGUGUGACGCCUCACACAGUCUUCACCUGUCAGCAGAUCACCUUUGCCUGGAGGCCUCUAGAUUAACAAUGUAACUGAGGAUGCUGGAGGAUAAGUGGGACAGUAUGAAAUAAUGUGAUCAGUGAUUUGAACUAACAUAGCUUACCUCUGUAUGGCAUUAUGGUUGGAACUGCACUGGUAGGUAGUAACCCCAAUCUAGUCUCUAUUCAGUGCUUUUCUGCUAACUUACUUGGGCACCUGUAGCUCCCUACAAAUAAAUAAAGAAAAAGUUUUCAAGGC